rnacentral:rRNA from 1 species
AGGGCCAGAUCACCCAGAAAGCACCUGAUCUCAGCUGAUCUCAGAAGUUAAGCAGGGUUGGCCCUGGUUAGAACUUGAGCAGGAGAUGUCUCUUUGACAUACUGGCUUCAUUUCCUU